rnacentral:rRNA from 1 species
UACGUAGGGUGCGAGCGUUGUCCGGAAUUAUUGGGCGUAAAGGGCUCGUAGGCGGUUUGUCGCGUCGGGAGUGAAAUCCACUGGCUUAACUGGUGGCUUGCGGUCGAUACGGGCAGGCUCGAGUUCGGUAGGGGGAGACUGGAAUUCCUGGUGUAGCGGUGAAAUGCGCAGAUAUCAGGAGGAACACCGGUGGCGAAGGCGGGUCUCUGGGCCGAUACUGACGCUGAGGAGCGAAAGCAUGGGGAGCGAACAGG